GGAGCUGUGCCUGAAAUAAAGGGCCACUUUGAUAGAGUGAACUAUGAGGGUUAAAGUCCCUCCAUCUCCU
rnacentral:tRNA from 1 species